AGGCAGGGGCAUUAUCGACAGCUAAAGUAGGGGCAAUGUCAGCAGAAGCGACCUUCGAUUCUAUAGCCCCUGGAUUCACCUGAAGCUGGUCCUUGGAAUCAUCAGAGUUGCCUUGAUCCAGGAAGGAGAGAUCUAAUUUAGGAAAGUGGGCGGUGACUUUAUUAUGAACACUAUAUUGGAUAGUGAUGAAGGCAUCAAAGGCGAAGUGAUUUUUUUCAUUUGAAAAUUCUACAGAAGCCUUCAAUUCUUUCAUGACCCAAUGUGUGACCUCUAUGGCUCGCUCUUCUGCUUUCUUCUCC
rnacentral:lncRNA from 1 species